GUAAGGCCCCUUGUAGACUACAAGGUUGAUAGGCUGCGUGUGUAAGCAUGGUAACAUGUUCAGCUUGGCAGUACUAAUAGGCCGAGGGCUUGACCAA
rfam:Clostridium sp. CAG:1013 genomic scaffold, scf127